rnacentral:tRNA from 1 species
CCUUAAGAUGACGAAGUUGUUGAGUGUUCACACAGAUUGCCUUGAUUCGAAGUAGUUAGAGCAAAGACCUGGUGCGCCUUGGCGUGUCAGUGCUUGUUUGGUCGAAAGACUAAACGAGAGAAGCCCGUUCGUUGGGUUGGGAUGUGAAUAAUGACGAAAGUCGUUACCCAAUUCAGAGUUAGCGAUAACAGCGAACAGCGCUAAAGACCGCUAGCCUCGCAGGCUCGGCGUCGCCUUUACGAAAAUCAUUGCGAAGUGACCUUCGCAAAGCAUGAUUUUCGUCCCCUUCGUCUAGAGGCCUAGGACACCGCCCUUUCACGGCGGUAACAGGGGUUCGAAUCCCCUAGGGGACGCCACUUCUCUUCUUGCUAACAAGAAUGCAGAGUUAAGAACUGAUUCUUAACUCUGUUUUCUUCGGCCUCGCGCCGUUGCAAACAUGCUCUUUAACAAUCUGGAAAGCUGAUUUAAAAAGUAGUUCUCAAACAUUUGUUACAAGUGCUUUGGAAACUUCUUGGCGAAAACCAAAUUUUAUUUGGUCCUUGUUGUACAGCAACUUGAAUGCCGUUUCGACGACACUUCUUGGGGUU